AACCCGGAAGGCUUUUUAUUUUAUUUUACUUUCCUUCACCUACUCUUCCACACCCACCUACUUCCUCCACCUUUCCUCCCACUUUCAGCUACUCCCACCCAACUACUCCUCAAAAUAAGCACAAAGUAGAGAUCAAUCACCACUUCCUUUCUCUCCUCAAGUCACGCUGCUUUCGAUCAAGAAGGGGAAACAACAAAUUCACAAUAUACAUCCCUCAUAUCUCAAGGCUUUAUGAACCAAGGAGAUUAGCGCUGCUUUCCCAAGACGAGUUUAUGUGAUUAUAAUCUUCAGGCUUUGCCUAUCCAGGUGGGCAUUACUUUUACUAUACGUAUAUAGAGAUCCCCUGCGUGUCGUAGGCCUCUUAUACGAAUAUAUGCAUGAGAUGAUUUUAACUGUUAAUUUCAUAUUAUUAUUAUGCCCAAAUGAUAAAUGACUCUUAUGAAAUGAAAAUGAAAUGUUUAUGAAAUGAAAUGAAAUGUUUAUGAAAUGAUUGACUGCCAAAAAUGUUUAUGUUUUUAUAUGUAUCCUAUCUGUGUUGGUUCGCCAACUUUAAAGGAAAUCCAAUUGGGAUCCUAUGCUAGACAAAGGUCGCUAGCUAGGGUUAACGUGUACACUUAUGGAGACCGCGAGUCGCUUGCGACCGGUCUUGGCGUCCGUGGUAAGGAGGCCUCCUUCCCGGCGCGUGACAGAAAGGAACAGAUAUGGAUCAUAUGAAGGAAAAUGAUCGGCCGAUCGACUUUAUGAAAA